GGAAGCGUGUCCGAGCGGCCUAAGGAGCUUGGCUGGAAUCCAAGUAUGCGGGGUAACUCGCAUCGCAGGUUCAAAUCCUGUCGCUUCCGCCG
rnacentral:tRNA from 1 species